GUGGAUAUAGCUCAGUGGUAGAGUGCAUGCUUAGCAUGCAUGAGGUCCUGGGUUCAAUCCCCAGUUUCUCCA
rnacentral:tRNA from 1 species